CCUACGCGGGGCAGCAGUGAGGAAUAUUGGUCAAUGGCCGGAAGGCUUAACCAGCCAAGUCGCGUGAGGGACGACUGCCCUAUGGGUUGUAAACCUCUUUUAUAAGGGAAGAAUAAAUGCUACGUGUAGCAUGAUGCCUGUACCUUAUGAAUAAGCAUCGGCUAACUCCGUGCCAGCAGCCGCGGUAAUACGGAGGAUGCGAGCGUUAUCCGGAUUUAUUGGGUUUAAAGGGUGCGUAGGCGGUUUUUUAAGUUAUUGGUUAAACGUCGGGGCUUCACCUUGAUUUGCCAUUAAUACUGUAAGACUCGAGUUCAGACGAGGUAGGCGGAAUAAGUUAAGUAGCGGUGAAAUGCUUAGAUAUAACUUAGAACUCCGAUAGCGAAGGCAGCUUACCAGACUGCAACUGACGCUGAAGCACGAGAGCGUGGGUAGCGAACAGGAUUAGAGACCCGGGUAGUC
rnacentral:rRNA from 1 species